rnacentral:tRNA from 1 species
GGAGAGGCUGUGCAAUGGUGAGCUCAACAGGCUGUAAACCUGCCGUCUAAGACUGUGCUGGUUCGACUCCAGCCCUCUCCACCA